rnacentral:rRNA from 1 species
CAGUAGCCGCGGUAAAACGGAGGGUGCAAGCGUUAUCCGGAUUUAUUGGGUUUAAAGGGUCCGUAGGCGGAUCUGUAAGUCAGUGGUGAAAUCUCACAGCUUAACUGUGAAACUGCCAUUGAUACUGCAGGUCUUGAGUAAAUUUGAAGUGGCUGGAAUAAGUAGUGUAGCGGUGAAAUGCAUAGAUAUUACUUAGAACACCAAUUGCGAAGGCAGGUCACUAAGAUUUAACUGACGCUGAUGGACGAAAGCGUGGGGAGCGAACAGGAUUAGAUACCCCCGUAGUCCCUGUCUCUUAUAC